rnacentral:rRNA from 1 species
AAUAGAUACCCAGGUAGUCCACGCCGUAAACGAUGAGUGCUAAGUGUUAGAGGGUUUCCGCCCUUUAGUGCUGCAGCAAACGCAUUAAGCACUCCGCCUGGGGAGUACGGUCGCAAGACUGAAACUCAAAGGAAUUGACGGGGGCCCGCACAAGCGGUGGAGCAUGUGGUUUAAUUCGAAGCAACGCGAAGAACCUUACCAGGUCUUGACAUCCUUCGCUACCUCUAGAGAUAGAAGGUUCCCCUUCGGGGGACGAAGUGACAGGUGGUGCAUGGUUGUCGUCAGCUCGUGUCGUGAGAUGUUGGGUUAAGUCCCGCAACGAGCGCAACCCUUGAUCUUAGUUGCCAGCAUUCAGUUGGGCACUCUAAGGUGACUGCCGGUGACAAACCGGAGGAAGGUGGGGAUGACGUCAAAUCAUCAUGCCCCUUAUGACCUGGGCUACACACGUGCUACAAUGGAUGGUACAAAGGGCUGCAAGACCGCGAGGUCAAGCCAAUCCCAUAAAAACCAUUCUCAGUUCGGA